rnacentral:lncRNA from 1 species
GGUAGGAAUGGUUUUCAACCCUUAGAUCAAAAUGAAUGAUCAAGAUUAAAAGGACAAAUUGAUUUGCACGUGUCUUUGUCUUCCGCAAGUCCAGAACUAAAAGCACAUCAUUUCUUUUUAUGAACCACCACUCUAGAUCUCACCCCAGAGGAAUAACCCGGCUACCGGCUGCACCAAACCAACCAAUGGACCACAAUAAAUUAUAUAUGCCACCCAUGACAUGAACAUUAUAACCUUUGAUUUUAUUUUUUGUAGUUGAAUUCGAGGCACAACCUACUUACAAAGCUAUAAUGUAGAAGGAAGCAUGUAACAUCUUCUACUAUAGGGUAAUCCUUCAAUAACUAAUUUGAAAGUCUUGUGAUUUAAGUUAAACAAAGGGAUUUACAUAUUCUUGGAGGUUGACAUGAGUGCAUUGAAGCAAAUGGGAGAAAAAUCAAAAAUGGCCUCAUAGAGCUUGCAAUUCUUAUGGUAAUUGUCAUCAAUUUGUGGCUUAUGUUCAAAUGCCUAUUACAGAGCAUAUGUUACAAAUACUUUGGUUGGUUGAUCGCAUGAAAAUUAAUAAGGUAAAUAACCAUUGUAUUCAAAUAUAAGCAUCAAGAAGAAUAAACUUUGACAUAGACAUCCGACACGACACAUAUACUCAUACGUCGACACCACUAAUUUAAAAAACACAUGACACCGACAUCGCUACAUAUUUUUUUAUUUAUUUAUGAAAAAUUAAAAUUGAUAAUCAGUUUAUU